AUUUCUGUGUUUCUCAUAGAGCUGGACAAGUGGAUCUUAGGCUAUUCUCUAUUUUGGUCAAUUAUAGUAGUAGUUGUGUAACAGUGUCUAAUUUUCAUCCAUGUCCUAAUGUUUAUCAUGGAACUCUUUCUGCUAUGUAAUCUCCAAUUCUGUUUUACCUACAGGUUUGGCUGAUUUACACUUGAUUCCUAAAAAAAGGUGUACUUCUUUGAGUGGGGUGAAUUCGUAUAUAUUUUUUAGCUGUACAAGUAGGAUAAGACCCCACUGCUAUUUUUAUGAAAAGCAAGCCAACACUAUUUUUUUGUGAAGUGUACAUGAGGAAUGUAGGUGAAAUCAUAUUUGAUGCAUAUUCCCUUUGUUCUGACUUCUGUUUGAUACAUAGUUUAUUUUAGAAAAUAUAUAGGAUAUAUCCAAUAGGGCAAGUUUAUGGUUACAUUUCUCUUUACGAUGCUUAUAUGAAGAAUGUAGAUAAAAAUAUAUUUCACAUGCCAUUUCAGUUUCUAAAAUUUCACUCAAACUUAACAAUUUGCAUAUAUUUGCUUUUUCUUCUGUUUAUAUUCCACAAUGAUAAGGUUUUCUUAUUUCAAAAUUAGUAUUAAGAAAACUGUGUUCUUCCUAGAGCACCGGCAGCAACCACAUCAUGAAAGGGUCGAGGGAAGAUUAUCUGAUAUGUGUCACUGAAAGCGAAGGUUGAAUGUCAAGACGAUCAAGAAGAUCAGGUGGAUCUAUCCAAAAAUAUGCUUCCGUGGAACUACAUAGGUUAUUUGUCUCGCAUUGCUCCUGUGCCUUGAUUUUGCUGUAUGAGAAGUACAUUGUAUCAAACUUGAUGUGGAUUGUUCAUCUGGUCUCGCUUUUGGAAAAGUAUAUAUUUACA